AGAGUUUGAUUCUGGCUCAGGAUGAACGCUAGCUACAGGCUUAACACAUGCAAGUCGAGGGGCAUCAUGGAGUUUGCUUGCAAACUCCGAUGGCGACCGGCGCACGGGUGAGUAACGCGUAUCCAACCUUCCCCUUAGUAGGGCAUAGCCCGGCGAAAGUCGGAUUAAUACCCUAUGUUGUCGUUUGAAGACAUCUGAAGACGAUUAAAGAUUGAUCGCUAAGGGAUGGGGAUGCGUCUGAUUAGGUUGUUGGCGGGGUAACGGCCCACCAAGCCAUCGAUCAGUAGGGGUUCUGAGAGGAAGGUCCCCCACAUUGGUACUGAGACACGGACCAAACUCCUACGGGAGGCAGCAGUGAGGAAUAUUGGUCAAUGGGCGAGAGCCUGAACCAGCCAAGUAGCGUGCCAGGAUGACUGCCCUAUGGGUUGUAAACUGCUUUUAUCAGGGGAUAAAGUGACGUACGUGUACGUUAUUGUAGGUACCUGAUGAAUAAGGACCGGCUAAUUCCGUGCCAGCCGCCGC
rnacentral:rRNA from 1 species